GCUGCCGUAGCUCAGAAGGAAGAGCGUCCCCAUUCUUUGCCGCGCCAAGGGCCGAAGAGGGGGAAGGUCGCAGGUUCGAGUCCUGCCGGUGGUU
rnacentral:tRNA from 1 species